rnacentral:rRNA from 1 species
UACGUAGGGUGCAAGCGUUAAUCGGAAUUACUGGGCGUAAAGCGUGCGCAGGCGGUUUUGUAAGUCUGUCGUGAAAGCCCCGGGCUCAACCUGGGAAUUGCGUUGGAGACUGCAAGGCUAGAAUCUGGCAGAGGGGGGUAGAAUUCCACGUGUAGCAGUGAAAUGCGUAGAGAUGUGGAGGAACACCGAUGGCGGAGGCAGCCCCCUGGGUCAAGAUUGACGCUCAUGCACGAAAGCGUGGGGAGCAAACAGG